CCUACGGGCGGCUGCAGUGGGGAAUAUUGGACAAUGGGCGAAAGCCUGAUCCAGCCAUGCCGCGUGUGUGAAGAAGGCCUUCGGGUUGUAAAGCACUUUCAGUGGGGAAGAAAGCCUUGGGGCUAAUACCCUCGAGGAAGGACAUCACCCACAGAAGAAGCACCGGCUAACUCCGUGCCAGCAGCCGCGGUAGUACGGAGGGUGCGAGCGUUAAUCGGAAUUACUGGGCGUAAAGCGCGCGUAGGCGGUCUGAUAAGCCGGUUGUGAAAGCCCCGGGCUCAACCUGGGAACGGCAUCCGGAACUGUCAGGCUAGAGUGCAGGAGAGGAAGGUAGAAUUCCCGGUGUAGCGGUGAAAUGCGUAGAGAUCGGGAGGAAUACCAGUGGCGAAGGCGGCCUUCUGGACUGACACUGACGCUGAGGUGCGAAAGCGUGGGUAGCAAACAGGAUUAGAUACCCGAGUAGUC
rnacentral:rRNA from 1 species